rnacentral:rRNA from 1 species
GACGAACGCUGGCGGCGUGCUUAACACAUGCAAGUCGAACGGUAAGGCCCUUCUGGGUACACGAGUGGCGAACGGGAGAGGAACACGUAGGCGAUCUGCCCUGCACUUCGGCAUAAGCAUGGGUAACUGGGUCUAAUACCGGUUAGGAACACGGCCUGCUUGGGUGGUGGUGGGAAGCCUGUGCGGGGUGGGAUGGGCGCGCGGCCGAUCAGCUUGUUGGUGGGGUGGUGGCCUACCAUGGCGACGGCGGGUAGCCGGCCUGAGAGGGUGACCGGCCACACUGGGACUGAGAUACGGGCCAGACUCCUACGGGAGGCAGCAGUGGGGAAUAUUGCACAAUGGGCGCAAGCCUGAUGCAGCAACGCCGCGUGAGGGAUGACGGCCUUCGGGUUGUAAACCGCUUUCGGCACCGACGAAGCGCGAGUGACGGUAGGUGGAGAAGAAGGACCGGCUAACUACGUGCCAGCAGCCGCAGUAAAAC